GACAGAGGCCUCGAGCGUUAGGCGGAAUCACUGGGCUUAAAGCGUGUGUAGGCGGACCUCUAAGUACCUUGUGAAAUCCCACGGCUCACCCGUGGAACCGCUGGGUAUACUGGGGGUCUUGGGCCACUCAGGGGCGACUGGAACAAGCGGUGGAGCGGUGAAAUGCGUAGAUAUCGCUUGGAACGCCAAAGGUGAAAACAGGUCGCUGGGAGUGCGCCGACGCUGAGACACGAAAGCCAGGGGAGCAAACGGG
rnacentral:rRNA from 1 species